CGAUUAUUAGUUUUGCGCAGGCAGUAUAAUACAUGGAGACUUCUGAAAGAUGGUCAGAAAGCUCUAUGGGAUAAGGCCACGAGGAGAAAGACCUGGCAAGUGUUUAAAUGGAGCUGUAUAUGUACCCAGCACUUUCAAUAUUUUAUCUUAGAGAAAAUAUGUCUUCACAUUUCACUGCUCACUCAAACUUUCCCAAAAGUGUUGUCAACAGAUGUUUCCAUCAAUCCAGAUCCAUCACCCAAUGGAACGGUUGUUCAAAUUAGGAGAAACUUGUACACUGUGUGUGGGAUAAAUGUGCAAAAUUGGAAAAAAAUCAUGCUUCCUCAGCAGCUAAAUUGUUGCUCUAGCAGUGAAAUAGUCAUCUGAAUCAUAUGAUAAAGGUUUUGCAGAAGAUGAAAUACAUAGAUAAAGAGCAUUUUAGUGCUUAACAAUGGAUACCAUGUAAUCUAAAUGGAAAGUUGUCCAGGCAGCAUCCAAGUAGAAUAAGUGGUGGUUUUGCAAGUGAUGCAAUAUGUGUCCAUAGAAUUGCAUUGAAUUAAUGGUUAGUGAAGUUUUUAACUGCUUAACCAAGACAUUACUUCUGAACUUGAGUGCCACUUGGCCACUUGGUGUUACUGUCUAGUAUGGCUCAUGCAAUGAGAAUGCUGAAAUUCUUUCUCACAGAAACAAAUGUGAAUGCAAAUAUAGUAAUCUUAUCACCUGUGAACG